rnacentral:rRNA from 1 species
UGGGGAAUAUUGCACAAUGGGGGGAACCCCGAUGCAGCGACGCCGCGUGAGUGAGGAAGUAUUUCGGUAUGUAAAGCUCUAUCAGCAGGGAAGAAGAAAUGACGGUACCUGACUAAGAAGCCCCGGCUAACUACGUGCCAGCAGCCGCGGUAAUACGUAGGGGGCAAGCGUUAUCCGGAUUUACUGGGUGUAAAGGGAGCGCAGGCGGCAUGAUAAGUCUGAUGUGAAAACCCAAGGCUCAACCAUGGGACUGCAUUGGAAACUGUCGUGCUGGAGUGUCGGAGAGGUAAGCGGAAUUCCUAGUGUAGCGGUGAAAUGCGUAGAUAUUAGGAGGAACACCAGUGGCGAAGGCGGCUUACUGGACGAUGACUGACGCUGAGGCUCGAAAGCGUGGGGAGCAAACA